GGAGGGGCAGAGACUUGAGGAAGACAGCUGACAACAACCUCUGCCCUCUACAUAUAUGUCCACCUGCAAGUAGAACCCAUGGAAAUACCAGUUGUUGGAGAAGCUGUUCCCUGAAGAAGGAUAAGAAACUAGGAUUUCAGCACACUUCCUAAGAUGCAGUAUAUGAACUCUCCCACUGAGUCAGGCUAUAUUGGCCCCAUCUGUGACCUCAGGCAACAGUGGUAAAUACUGGGAACACAAAAGAAAAAGGUGAAUCUCUUCGAAUCCCCCAUGUUAAUGCACCCAGAUGGUCAUGGUGCUCUCUGAGGUAGGUGUGUCAUCUGGAAAGGAACCAGGGCUCUCAGUCACUUCUGAAUCGCAGACCUGCAGAUAAACAGUGAGGGCUGGAACAGCAGGAACAACCUCCAGAGAUGGACUGGACGGGAAGUGCUUUUGCAAUGCUCACCUGCAGUCUGUCUGCUGCCUUCAAUGCACUCACUGUGCAAACAGCCCUCAAAGUGAAACCUUUUCCAAACAGACCCUUUCUUUGGAAGAAAUACCACUUGUAUAUUAAAGCAAAUUCUAUAAGGAGAUGGAUAAGAAGUAGCAAGAACAAUCCCAGAGGAGAAGAGAGGGGAUGACAUGAUUAGAAGAUGAAGGAGACUUUUUAUAAUGAUACCAUCGGUGUGGGGGAACUACCUCAUUGAAUAACAUAUAGAUAGUAAUCAAGCCUGGCUACAGUGACCUGAAGGAUCCACAACGGCCUUUUAAAACAAGACUGUUAGGAACAUAAAAGUUGAUUAAACAAGAAACUACUGAUGGGUGCCAGUUGCCUCCUUCCCUUUCGUCCUUCUUGUUCUUUUCUGUGGCAUGUAGGAUCAGAGCCACAGUCUUCACUGCCUAAGCGAGCAUCACAUUACUAAGUUACACAUGUAGACCAGCUCUGCAAUGUCAUCUACCUUACGGACCACUGCUCCGCACCAUUCCGGUCUGCCUGCUGCCAUGCUUCCUACCAUAACAGCCACGGACUAACCCGCUUCAGCAAUGAG